UACGAGGGGAGCAAGCGUUGUUCGGAUUUACUGGGCGUAAAGAGCGCGCAGGCGGUCGUACAAGUCGCGUGUGAAAGCCCCCGGCUCAACUGGGGAGGGUCACGCGAUACUGUUCGACUCGAAGGCAGGAGAGGGAAGUGGAAUUCCCGGUGUAGUGGUGAAAUGCGUAGAUAUCGGGAGGAACACCAGUGGCGAAGGCGACUUCCUGGCCUGUUCUUGACGCUGAGGCGCGAAAGCUAGGGUAGCAAACGGG
rnacentral:rRNA from 1 species